GGAGAAGUAAGAGGACUGGACCAGUUGGCUGGUGAACGUGCUGUUGGCCUUGUCAAAGGACUCCCCAUGGGACCCUGAUGGGGGGAGUCAAGUAAAUAUUAACACAUGACAGAGACAGAGAACCCAGCUGUUCCAAAACCACUUCCCGGUCAGCGUAUCCUUUCCUCGUGACUCCAAGUGACACCCUUAUUGUGAGUUAACCUCCUAAAUAAACCUAAGUGUCUUUGAUCCUCCA